rnacentral:lncRNA from 1 species
UCCCCCGAACCCCACUGUUUUAGUGGCUUUGCUCGUUUAAAAGCCAACCCCAAGCCCAAUCUCUUUAUUUCGGGGGAGUCAUUAUUGUUCAUAGCCUAUUACACGAGGAAUUAUUCCAUCAUUUCUCUCGAACACCCCCCUCCAUAGAACCAAAGGGGGGGAAAAAAAUCCCCGAACCCCUUUUCAUAUUCUUUUAUUUUUGUUUUAAAAAAAAGAUGGCGGCUAAGAAAAAGACUGCUGUUAAACCGGUCAUGAAGAAAUGCAAUAAAUUCCUUGUUGUUUUAUGAAAAUUUACAACUUUGUGAUAGAACUUUAUGAGUGGCUGGGUUCUGGGAUUGGCCAGAGCCGGUCAUGUGGACUGCUAACCGUGAACAUGAACUUUUUAUUAUUUCCCAUGUGGUUAUAUUGCACCAUUCUUCUGUCCGCUGCACCUUGGGUCGGAUCAGUGUCCUCUAUAGGGCUCUCUCCUCUUUACAUUUUUUUACUUUGGUGUAUAGGCUCGAUAGGUUUAAAGCAGGGGAGAGGGGAGGGGGGACGCCUAUCCACACAUCCACACACACACAUAGGCGCUCACAUCCUCACACCACACAUAGGAAAAGAGGCUUUUUUUUUUUUUUUUUCCUUUUUUUUUUUUUUUUUUUUUAAUUCCUCUGUUAAUUUGCCUGCCGAUUUGGAAUCUCAGUAGUAAUGGAGGGACAGUGGAGAUUCUGGACGGAGUGGCGGCUUUCAUUUUUCAAAGAGGGAAGUUACUCCAUUUUCUAUGCAAAUGACAGAAAUGCAAGAAGCUCUCACAAGUCAGAGAGGCAAUCGACGGCUAUCAGGUUGGGACAAUAUUUGUCAGCUAACAGAUAAGCAAACGCUGUCUCCCUCUCCCUAUAUAUUUUGCUUAUGCCACAGAAAUGGACGUCAAAAGAUCUGGAGCACACACGGCCGCAGAUCCAGGCACAGAGGAGUGCGUAUGAUAACGUGUGUCAUUUCAACCGCGUGUAAGGAACCGACAGACAGAUGGUUACAAAUUCGGAUGGGGAAAGAAGUCCUUCAUACGAUGCGAACGAUCAGUGGCACUUCUGGAUUUCAUUAUUGUUAUCCUUAUCGUUAUUAUCUUUUUUUUUCCUCUUUUUUUUUUUUUUUUUUUUUUUUUUUUUUUUUUUUUUUUUUUUUUUUUUCUUUUCUGUC